rnacentral:tRNA from 1 species
GGCCCUAUCGUCUAGUCUGGUCCAGGACGCGUGGUUCUCAUCCACGUAACUCGGGUUCAAAUCCCGAUGGGGUCACCA